rnacentral:rRNA from 1 species
AUUGAACGCUGGCGGCAGGCCUAACACAUGCAAGUCGAGCGGAUGAAGGGAGCUUGCUCCUGGAUUCAGCGGCGGACGGGUGAGUAAUGCCUAGGAAUCUGCCUGGUAGUGGGGGAUAACGUCCGGAAACGGGCGCUAAUACCGCAUACGUCCUGAGGGAGAAAGUGGGGGAUCUUCGGACCUCACGCUAUCAGAUGAGCCUAGGUCGGAUUAGCUAGUUGGUGGGGUAAAGGCCUACCAAGGCGACGAUCCGUAACUGGUCUGAGAGGAUGAUCAGUCACACUGGAACUGAGACACGGUCCAGACUCCUAAGGGAGGCAGCAGUGGGGAAUAUUGGACAAUGGGCGAAAGCCUGAUCCAGCCAUGCCGCGUGUGUGAAGAAGGUCUUCGGAUUGUAAAGCACUUUAAGUUGGGAGGAAGGGCAGUAAGUUAAUACCUUGCUGUGUUGACGGUACCAACAGAAUAAGCACCGGCUAACUUCGUG